AUCUGCACGGCGCGUCCCAGCCCUGCAUGCUCACAGCCACAUCCAGCCGGACCCAGCUGUCCCUCGAGGGGAUGCCACGUAUCCCCCCCAGCCAUUGAGAUCCACUGGGAUCCAUUGGGGUCUGGUUUUCCUCCACCCUGGGUCCCCCCAGCACGAUGACUGUUCCCAGCCCCAGCGGCUGUGCAGCGCUUCUGUGUGGAACGAGAUUUAAAGCAGCGCAGCAAAUAGGUGAUAGAAAAACCAAACUCUAUUAAAAACCCAUUUUCUGCAGGCUGCUGGCAGCUGGCUGAGCAGAGGCAGGAAGGAGGCUGUGAGCACCGAGACAUGCAGGAGCUGCCGAUUGCUGUGGGAUGGGUGCAUGCUGGCAGCACCGAGGAUGUGCACUGCUUGAUCCUGGAAACAAGGCUAUCCGUUUCAAUUAGAGCAAGCAGGGAAGCGGCUAUUAAGUGCUUCGUUAUUAUGGUAAUGGAUCUACUCUGCAUGCACGGGGAAGGCCUCGCACCCUCCCGCCAGUGUCCAAUUUUUUAUCUCUAAUUCCUCCCCUGGGUCUUCUCCCAUCCGUGACAUGAACGAUGAGAACCACGGUGGCUCCGGCUCUAGGGAGGCAGAGCAGUGCCUCUCCCUCAGCCCGGAGGUGGGGGGGUGAUGGGCACCCAUGCCCUGGGGCUGUACUCUUGUAGGGGCUCUGCUCAGUGGGAUGGGGACCCUCGGUGAGGAUGUGCCCUGCAGCGCAGGACUGCUACAUGGGACCCCGUGCUCCUCAUAGGCGCCGGUGUCUGCCAUCAGCG
rnacentral:lncRNA from 1 species